rnacentral:rRNA from 1 species
ACUGCUCAGUAACACGUGGACAACUUACCCAAGAGUCCGGGAUAACCCCGGGAAACUGGGGAUAAUACCGGAUAGAUCAUCUUUGCUGGAAGGCUUGGUGGUUGAAACUUCCGGGGCUUUUGGAUGGGUCUGCGGCUGAUUAGGUUGUUGCCGGUGUAACGUACCGUCAAGCCUGUAAUCAGUACGGGUUGUGGGAGCAAGAGCCCGGAGAUGGAUUCUGAGACACGAAUCCAGGCCCUACGGGGCGCAGCAGGCGCGAAAACUCUACAAUGCAGGCAACUGCGAUAGGGGAACAUCGAGUGAUCCUCAUAUUGGGGGUCUGUCCACCUGUCUAAAAAACGGGUGUUAGCAAGGGCCGGGCAAGACCGGUGCCAGCCGCCGCGGUAAUACCGGCGGCUCGAGUGGUGGCCGAUAUUAUUGAGUCUAAAGGGUCCGUAGCCGGCUUUGCAAGUCUCUCGGGAAAUCCAGCGGCUUAACCGUUGGUCGUCCGGGGGGUACUACAUUGCUUGGGACUGGGAGAGGUAGGAGGUACUCAGGGGGUAGGAGUGAAAUCCUGUAAUCCUUUGGGGACCACCGGUGGCGAAGGCGUCCUACCAGAACAGGUCCGACGGUGAGGGACGAAAGCUAGGGGCACGAACCGGAUUAGAUACCCGGGUAGUCCUAGCCGUAAACGAUGCUCGCUAGGUGUCACAACAGUCGUGAAUUGUUGUGGUGCCGUAGGGAAGCCGUGAAGCGAGCCACUUGGGAAGUACGACCGCAAGGGUUGAAACUUAAAGGAAUUGGCGGGGGAGCA